UAGGGAAUCUUCGGCAAUGGACGAAAGUCUGACCGAGCAACGCCGCGUGAGUGAAGAAGGUUUUCGGAUCGUAAAACUCUGUUGGUAGAGAAGAACGUUGGUGAGAGUGGAAAGCUCAUCAAGUGACUGUAACUACCCAGAAAGGGACGGCUAACUACGUGUCAG
rnacentral:rRNA from 1 species